AGGACGAACGGCUGGCGGCGUGCCUAAUACAUGCAAGUCGAACGGCUUUUCGUAUGGAAGCUUGCUUCCACUGAGAAGAUAGUGGCGAACGGGGUGAGUAACACGUGGGGUAAACCGUGCCCAUAAGAGGGGGGAGUAACAUCCGGAAACGGGUGCUAAUACCGCAUAGUUUUCUUUGAUCGCAUGAUCGGGAAAGGAAAGACGGCCUUUGUGCUGUCGCUUAUGGAUGGACCCGCGGCGUAUUAGUUAGUUGGUGAGGUAACGGCUCACCAAGACGAUGAUACGUAGCCGGACCUGAGAGGGUGAUCGGCCACAUUGGGACUGAGACACGGCCCAAACUCCUACGGGAGGCAGCAGUAGGGAAUCUUCCGCAAUGGACGAAAGUCGUGACGGAGCAACGCCGCGUGAGUGAAGAAAGGGUUUUCGGAUCGUAAAACUCUGUUGUCAGAGAAGAACAAGUUGGAGAGUAACUGCUCCAGCCUUGACGGUAUCUGACCAGAAAGCCACGGCUAACUACGUGCCAGCCGCUGC
rnacentral:rRNA from 1 species